rnacentral:rRNA from 1 species
AGGAAAUAGAUACCCAGGUAGUCCCAGCUGUAAACGAUGCAGACUAGGUGUUUGGACGGCCACGUGCCGUUCUAGUGCCGCAGGGAAGCUGUUAAGUCUGCCGCCUGGGGAGUACGAUCGCAAGAUUGAAACUUAAAGGAAUUGGCGGGGAGCACCACAAGGGUGGAAGCUUGCGGUUUAAUUUAGGAGUCAACGCCGGAAAUACUCACCGGGAGGCGACAGCAGUAUGAAAGACCAGAUUGAAGGUCUUGCCAGACGAGCUGAGAGGAGGUGCAUGGCCGUCGCCAGUUCGUGCCGUGAGGUGUCCUGUUAAGUCAGGCAACGAUCGAGACCCGCGUCCUCUGUUGCAACCAGCUUUGUGCUGGGCACACUGAGGAGACCGCCACUGAUAAAGUGGAGGAAGGAGCGGGCCACGGCAGGUCAGUAUGCCCCGGAAUCUCCCGGGGCCACACGCGAGCUGCAAUGGCAAGUACAAUGGGUUCCGACCUCGAAAGGGGGAGGCAAUCUCGAAAGCUUGCCGUAGUUGGAAUU